UGCAAUAGCGAUUCCUCGCUCCUCAGGAAU
rnacentral:piRNA from 1 species